rfam:Trachymyrmex septentrionalis contig16540, whole genome shotgun sequence.
UAAGUGGCCCUUUUCAGGGCCACACAAAGUACACAACAGCCCCUUU